rnacentral:rRNA from 1 species
CCUACGGGAGGCAGCAGUGGGGAAUAUUGCACAAUGGGGGAAACCCUGAUGCAGCGACGCCGCGUGAGUGAAGAAGUAUUUCGGUAUGUAAAGCUCUAUCAGCAGGGAAGAAAAUGACGGUACCUGAUUAAGAAGCCCCGGCUAACUACGUGCCAGCAGCCGCGGUAAUACGUAGGAGGCGAGCGUUAUCCGGAAUGACUGGGCGUAAAGGGUGCGUAGGUGGUUUGGCAAGUUAGUAGCGUAACUCCAAGGCUCAACCUUGGAACUACUACUAAAACUGUUGGACUUGAGUGCAGGAGGGGCAACCGGAAUUCCUAGUGUAGCGGUGAAAUGCGUAGAUAUUAGGAGGAACACCAGUGGCGAAGGCGGCUUACUGGACUGUAACUGACGUUGAGGCUCGAAAGCGUGGGGAGCAAACAGGAUUAGAUACCCGUGUAGUC